CUGGCGGCGUGCAUAACACAUGCAAGGUCUAACGGGAAAGUCGGCUUCGGCUGGCUAGUACCGUGGCGAACGGGUGAGUAACACGUGGGUAAUCUAACCUCGAGCUUGGAUAACCUUGCGAAAGCGAGGCUAAUACCGAAUAAGACCACGCCCUGCCCGCAGGGUGUGGUAAAAGGUGGCCUCUUCCUGAAAGCUAUCACUUGAGGAUGAGCCCGCGGCCUAUUAGCUAGUUGGUAGGGUAACGGCCUACCAAGGCGACGAUGGGUAGCCGGCCUGAGAGGGUGUACGGCCACACUGGCACUGAGAUACGGGCCAGACUCCUACGGGAGGCAGCAGUGGGGAAUUUUGCGCAAUGGGGGAAACCCUGACGCAGCAACGCCGCGUGAGUGAUGAAGGCCUUCGGGUCGUAAAGCUCUUUUAGUGGGGAAGAAUCCCUCCCGGGCAAAUAACCUGGGAGGAUGACGGUACCCACAGAAAAAGUUCCGGCUAACUACGUGCCAGCAGCCGCGGUAA
rnacentral:rRNA from 1 species